AGCGAACGCUGGCGGCAGGCCUAACACAUGCAAGUCGAACGAACCCUUCGGGGUUAGUGGCGGACGGGUGCGUAACACGUGGCAACGUGCCUUUAGGUUCGGAAUAACUCAGGGAAACUUGUGCUAAUACCGAAUGUGCUCUUCGGGGGAAAGUACUAUCGUCUUUAGGGCGGCGCACGUCUGAUUAGUUGGUUGGUUAGGUCGAGGCUCACGAAGGCCACGGAAAUUAGGUGGUCUGAGAGAAUGAGCAGCCACAUUGGGACUGAGACACGGCCCAAACUCCUACGGGAGGCAGCAGUGGGGAAUGUUGCGCAGUGGGCGGAAUCCUGACGCAGCCAUGCCGCGUGGAUGAUGAAGGUCUGAGGAUUGUAAAAUCCUUUCACCGGUGAAGAUAAUGACUGUAGCCGGAGAAGAAGCCCCGGCUAACUUCGUGCCAGCCGCCGCGGUAAAAC
rnacentral:rRNA from 1 species